AGCAGCCGCGGUAAUUCCAGCUCCGAUAGCGUAUAUUAAAGUUGUUGCAGUUAAAAAGCUCGUAGUUGAAUUUCGGGGUCAGUAGGUUGGUCGUGCCACUGGUAUGUACUGGUCUCACUGAUUCCUCCUUCCUGAUGAGCCGUAAUGCCAUUAAUUUGGUGUUGCGGGGAAUCUGGACUGUUACUUUGAAAAAUUAGAGUGUUUAAAGCAGGCUAACGCUUGAAUACAUUAGCAUGGAAUAAUGAAAUAGGACGAUCGAUCCUAUUUUGUUGGUUUCUAGGAUUGACGUAAUGAUUAAAUAGGGAUAGUUGGGGGCAUUAGUAUUCAAUUGUCAGAGGUGAAAUUCUUGGAUUUAUUGAAGACUAACUACUGCGAAAGCAUUUGCCAAGGAUGUUUUCAUUAAUCAAGAACGAAAGUUAGGGGAUCGAAGACGAUCAGAUACCGUCGUAGUCUUAACCAUAAACUAUGCCGACUAGGUAUCGGAUGAUGUUAAUUUUUAAUGUA
rnacentral:misc_RNA from 1 species